UGUGUGUGUGUCCUGUGAAGAGGAGGAUAUAUAACCUCAUUUUACGUUCACUAAGCAGCCUCUUUGUGAGUGUACACGCUUGUAGCCUAAACAUGCUUACUUGUUCCCUUGCUUUCCUGUUCGCCAGCAACUCCUUCUGUAAUCUCUCGGCUCUCUCUUCAGCACCGUCUGCUUGCUCUUGUAAGGAUUUUAUUUUACGUUUUACUGCUUCUACUGAUGUAACUCCUGCCAUUUUCGGUACUGCCCCCCCCCCAAAAAAAACUAAGUUCAAAGAAAAAAAAAAAAAA